GGAUCAGUAUGUCGGUCGUGCUUUGGUACGUACUGUCAUUACUGGUUUCUCCCUUCUGAAGAACCAUGAUGUCAUUAGUUUGAUGUCGUGGGAAAUCAGGACUGUUACUUUGAAAAAAUUAGAGUGUUUAAAGCAGGCAUACGCUUGAAUACAUUAGCAUGGAAUAAUGAAAUAGGACGUUUGAUUCUAUUUUGUUGGUUUCUAGGAUCGACGUA
rnacentral:rRNA from 1 species